UGGGAACUACCUAGUAGUACGGAAUAACACAGAGAAAUUUGUGCUAAUACCGUAUACGCCCUUUUGGGGAAAGAUUUAUCGCUAUUAGAUGGGCCCGCGUUGGAUUAGCUAGUUGGUGGGGUAAUGGCCUACCAAGGCGACGAUCUAUAGCUGGUCUGAGAGGAUGAUCAGCCACACUGGGACUGAGACACGGCCCAGACUCCUACGGGAGGCAGCAGUGGGGAAUAUUGGACAAUGGGGGCAACCCUGAUCCAGCCAUGCCGCGUGAGUGAUGAAGGCCCUAGGGUUGUAAAGCUCUUUCAACGGUGAAGAUAAUGACGGUAACCGUAGAAGAAGCCCCGGCUAACUUCGUGCCAGCAGCCGCGGUAAUACGAAGGGGGCUAGCGUUGUUCGGAAUUACUGGGCGUAAAGCGUACGUAGGCGGACUGAUCAGUCAGGGGUGAAAUCCCGGGGCUCAACCCCGAACUGCCUUUGAUACUGUCAGUCUUGAGUUCG
rnacentral:rRNA from 1 species